CCCCACACUGACGUGUGGGGCCGUCUUUUUGACUGUAACAAGGGGUCUGCCCGUG
rfam:Erwinia tasmaniensis strain ET1/99 complete chromosome.